rnacentral:rRNA from 1 species
UACAGAGGGUGCGAGCGUUGUCCGGAAUCACUGGGCGUAAAGGGCGCGUAGGCGGCUUGGCAAGCGUGCGGUGAAAGCUCAGGGCUCAACCCUGAGUCUGCCGUGCGAACUGCCGGGCUUGAGCACAGUAGAGGCAGAUGGAAUUCCGGGUGUGGCGGUGGAAUGCGUAGAGAUCCGGAAGAACACCGGUGGCGAAGGCGGUCUGCUGGGCUGUGUCUGACGCUGAGGAGCGACAGCGUGGGGAGCAAACAGG